rnacentral:rRNA from 1 species
GUCCCCGUUGAAGAGUGUAGGUGUUGAGGAUGGCAGGCAAAUCCACCGUCCGAGCUGAACUUGAUAGUAUGGAGUCUUCUUCGGAAGAAUCCAAUAGUGUGGGUAAUCAUACUCCCGAGAAAAUCCGCUAAGCUUAACCCAUGCGGCACCCGUACCGCAAACGGACACACGUGGUCGGGUAGAACAUACUGAGGCGUUGAGAGAUUCAUGGUUAAGGAACUAGGCAAAUUGACCCUGUAACUUCGGGAUAAAGGGUCCUCGUGAAUAGCGAGGCGCAGAGAAUAGGUCCAGGCAACUGUUUAACAAAAACACAGGGCUGUGCAAACUCGAAAGAUGACGUAUACAGCCUGACACCUGCCCGGUGCCGGAAGGUUAAGAGGAGAUGUCACUAGCAAUAGGAAGCAUUGAAUUGAAGCCCCGGUAAACGGCGGCCGUAACAAUAACGGUCCUAAGGUAGCGAAAUUCCUUGUCGGGUAAGUUCCGACCUGCACGAAUGGUGUAAUGAUCCGGACGCUGUCUCAACCAUGAGCUCAGUGAAAUUGUAGUAUCGGUGAAGAUGCCGAUUACCCGCGAUGGGACGAAAAGACCCCGUGAACCUUUACUACAGCUUAGCAUUGACCUUGGUCAUCCGAUGUGUAGGAUAGGCCGGAGGCUUCGAAGCGGGAGCGCCAGCUUUCGUGGAGCCAUCCUUGAAAUACGGCCCUUUGGCUGUCUGAGGUCUAACGCGUGAAACGCGGACACUGCUUGGUGGGUAGUUUGACUGGGGUGGUCGCCUCCAAAAGCGUAACGGAGGCUUCCAAAGGUGCCCUCGGGUCGAUUGGUAACCGACCUCAAAGAGUGCAAUGGCAUAAGGGCGCUUGACUGGGAGGCAGACAUGCCGAGCAGGCAGGAAACUGGGGCAUAGUGAUCCGGCGGAUGUGUAUGGAAACUCCGUCGCUCAAAGGAUAAAAGGUACUCCGGGGAUAACAGGCUGAUCCCCCCCAAGAGCUCAUAUCGACGGGGUGGUUUGGCACCUCGACGUCGGCUCGUCACAUCCUGGGGCUGGAGAAGGUCCCAAGGGUUGGGCUGUUCGCCCAUUAAAGUGGCACGCGAGCUGGGUUCAGAACGUCGUGAGACAGUUCGGUCUCUAUCUAUCGUGGGCGUGGGAGUUUUGAGUGGUGCCGUCACUAGUACGAGAGGACCGUGAUGGACAGACCUCCGGUUUACCAGUUGUGCCGCCAGGCGCACCGCUGGGUAUCUGAGUCUGGAUUGGAUAGCGCUGAAAGCAUCUAAGUGCGAAGCCAGCCGCAAGAUGAGAACUCCAUUGAGGGUCGUCAGAGACGAUGACGUUGAUAGGAUGCAGGUGUAAAGACAGCGAUGUCAAAGCCGAGCAUUACUAAUUGCCC